AUCCAGUUGACGAGUCCCAAAUAGGACGAAACGCGUAUCGUGUAU
rnacentral:hammerhead_ribozyme from 1 species